UACGGAGGGUGCAAGCGUUAUCCGGAUUCACUGGGUUUAAAGGGUGCGUAGGCGGAUAGGUAAGUCCGUGGUGAAAUCCUGCAGCUUAACUGCAGAACUGCCGUGGAUACUAUCUAUCUUGAAUAUCGUGGAGGUUAGCGGAAUAUGUCGUGUAGCGGUGAAAUGCUUAGAUAUGACAUAGAACACCAAUUGCGAAGGCAGCUCACUACUCAAUCAUUGACUCUGAGGCACGAAAGCGUGGGGAUCAAACAGG
rnacentral:rRNA from 1 species